rnacentral:rRNA from 1 species
AUUGAACGCUGGCGGCAGGCUUAACACAUGCAAGUCGAACGAUGACUCUCUAGCUUGCUAGAGAAGAUUAGUGGCGGACGGGUGAGUAACAUUUAGGAAUCUGCCUAGUAGUGGGGGAUAGCUCGGGGAAACUCGAAUUAAUACCGCAUACGACCAACGGGUGAAAGGGGGCGCAAGCUCUUGCUAUUCGAUGAGCCUAAAUCAGAUUAGCUAGUUGGUGGGGUAAAGGCCCACCAAGGCGACGAUCUGUAACUGGUCUGAGAGGAUGAUCAGUCACACCGGAACUGAGACACGGUCCGGACUCCUACGGGAGGCAGCAGUGGGGAAUAUUGGACAAUGGGGGCAACCCUGAUCCAGCCAUGCCGCGUGUGUGAAGAAGGCCUUUUGGUUGUAAAGCACUUUAAGCAGGGAGGAGAGGCUAAUGGUUAAUACCCAUUAGAUUAGACGUUACCUGCAGAAUAAGCACCGGCUAACUCUGUGCCAGCCGCCGCAGUAACAC